UACGAAGGGGGCAAGCGUUAUUCAGUAUAACUAGGCGUAAAGGGUCCGUAGGCGGUUCAUUCCGUUGUUAACAAAAAACUAAGGCUUAACCUUUGUAAGAGUAACAAAACGUUUGAACUUGAGUAUUUUAGAGGAUAGUGGAAUCUCUAAGGGAGGGAUGAAAUCUAAAGAUCUUAGAAGGAACACCAUAGGCGUAAGCGACUAUCUGGAAAAUACUGACGCUGAGGGACGAAAGUUAGGGGAGCAAAUGGG
rnacentral:rRNA from 1 species